GCCGGGUGUGGUGGCGUACACCUUUAGUCCCAGCACUCGGGAGGCAGAGGCAGGUGGAUUUCUGAGUUUGAGGCCGGCCUGGUCUACAAAGUGAGUUCCAGGACAGCCAGAGCUACACAGAGAAACCCUGUCUCAAAAAAAACCAAAAAAACAAAAAAACCUGAAUUUAUGCAUGUAGGUAUGUAUGUAUAUAUAUUUUUUGAGACAGGGUCUCUCUAUAUAGCUCUAGCUGUCCUGGAACUCACUAUGUAGAUCAGGUUGUCCUGGGACUCACAGAUCUGCCUGCCU
rnacentral:lncRNA from 1 species